GCCGGGUGCGGUGGCAUGUGCCUGUAAUCCAAGUCACUGGGAGGCUGAGGUUGGUGGAUCAAGUGAGCUGAGGAGCUCUGGGCUGCAGCAUGCUAUGUGGAAUGGGUGUCCACGCUAAGUUCGGUAUUGAUAUGGUGUUCCUGGGGGAGCCCGGGACCACCAGGUUGUCUAAGGAGGGUGAACCGGCCCAGGUCGGAAACGAAGCAGGUCAAAUCCCCCGUGCUGUCCAGUAGUGGGAUAAUACCUGUGAGUAGAUGCUGCAGUGCAGCCUUGGCGAAACAUCGAGACCUAAUCUUUC
rnacentral:SRP_RNA from 1 species